rnacentral:tRNA from 1 species
GGACGCGUAGCUCAGCUGGUUAGAGCGCUCGCCUCACACGCGAGAGGUCAUGGGUUCGAGUCCCGUCGUGUCCACCA